GUGGAGGUAGCUAAGUGGUAAAGCGGCGGGUGGGCGAAAGCCCAAUUUCCCUUGUUCACAAACUUGUCUGCAAAGACCGCCGAAUUGAGGGUUAUCGGAAGUUCCGUUAUUCGUAGGUUCAACUCCUACCCUUCACA
rnacentral:tRNA from 1 species